AAGUGGAAGAUGAUAACAAUAUGAUUAAAACAUGCAACAAAAAGAUAGAUUAGUGAGAAAGACAUGAGAUAAAAAUGAAAAAUUCAUAUAAAGUUUAGUGUUUUCAAUUCAAAGAGAUUAGAGAGAGGUUGGAGAGUUUUAGAAUGAGGAACAUACCAUUUUUGUUGUAGCCAUUUGAGAAGAGUAGAGAGAAUGUGUAAAUUUUUCUUUAUAUAUAGAAACAAAAAUUCCAAUAAGGUUAAAUAUUUUCGAUCAGAAGAUUUACUAGACGACUUACUUGUAAGUCGCUCAGAAGACUUCAAUAUUUUAACUAAAAUAUUUUUAGCGGGAGUUAGAAGACUUUGAGAUAAGUUUUCUAAUCGCAAGACAACUUACAUGUUAGUCGUCUAAACCCUAAACAUAACUCCUAAACUAAAUUAACUAAUUAAACACUUCAUAAAAUUAAAUUAAAUUUAAAAAGUAUUUACUAUAUACAGAAAUAAUCACAUGUAGGUAAAAAAAUUAAUUUUUCAAAAAAACAUUUAAGCUUUCUAAAAUCCAACCCUAAGAAUACAUACAAUACAACAACAUAUGUUACCAAACCCUAGACCAAAGAAUAUCAUGAUUCAUUACUUUCACUAAUCUAUGUUUAAAACAAUUCAAUUUUAUUAAAUCUUAAUUUAUAUCACUUAAAACUGUUUAUAAUUACAUGAUUUUGAUUUUUCUUUUAUCAAAAUAAUUUUUACAAAAAUUAUAAAUUAUUUUUAAGAUCAACUAUACCAGACGACUUCCGUGGAUGUCAUCCAGAAGACUUAACAGAAUCUCAAAAGAUUCAGAAGACUUAGCGGUGCUAUAUUCGUAAAAAUGAGUUAUUUUUUUUGUUUGGUUACAAGGGGCUGACAGUAAUUUCACAAGACUUUUGGUUUACUUUUGCAUUUGAUUCAAGUUUAGGUAUACUUUUGCAAUCAAAAUCAAUUUUUGAGUCAUAUUUGGUAAUUCUCCCAAAAUUCUAUUAAUCUUUUAAAAUCUUUACCAAAUAAUUUUAAAUUUUAUUUCCAAAAAUUGAUUAACUUAAGUUUUAGUUAUCAUAAAAUAUAAUCAGAAAAUUAAUUUAAAUUUAGUUUUCACUUGUAAACGAAAGUUAAAAAUUAAAUAAAAUAUUUUAGUGAUAAUAACAACAUUAAAUUAUUACUUCUCAAAAACACAUUUUACAAAGAUUUUAAAAAGCUUUUAUUGGAAAGCAGUAUAAAAUUUUUUUUCUAUUUUAAAAUAAAAACUUAUUUAUUAAACACAUAAAUCCUGACUUAUUACAUGUGUGAUUUUUUAAUAUAAAUUAUCUUUUAGAGGUCGCAAUUUAAAUGCUUCUGUCAUGUAACAUUACAAUUUAUGUCAAUAAUUUGAACACAUAUAUAAUAUUCUUAUUAAUGGUUAAAUUUUAAUUUACACGUCUUCAUAUACGAAACAUUUAACCUCUUUACAUAUCAUAUAUAUACAAAUUUAGACAGAUGUUUCAAAAAAAAAUACAAAUUUAGACAGCUAUUAUUAGGGGUUAUAUAUUCUGUUGAGUUAAAAACCAUUCAUUUUAAUAUUUAAAAACUAUGCCAAAUUUCUUUAUUAAUCACUAUAUAUAAAUUAUACUCCAACAAUAAAUGGAAAAACAAAAUAUAUAUACAAAAUGAAUAUAUACAUGAAUGAAUACAUUAAACAUGAACACAUUUUUAUCAUAUAUAUGCAUACUAAUGUCAUAACAUGAACACAUUUUGAUCAAGAAAAAGAAUGACCUAUAUAUGUCAAAAAGAUUGAUAUUCCAACACUAUUAUAUAUGAAGAGAACAUACAUUUAUCAAACUAAUUUAAUAGUACUUUGAAAGAAGAAGUUUUUACGAAGAAGUUUCCUCAAUUUAGACAUCGUUCAUGUACCUCGGACAGAGAACCUACGAGAGGAUAGCUUAGCACGCAGUGCUAGGAAACAACCGUCUUUCGUCGUUCACAUGGAUGCGGAGUUACCGAUUUGGUUUACAGAGUCAAUAUAAGUCUGUGAAUGUCUUGUUGUCAAAAAAAAAUUUAAUAGUACAGUAUAUAACAUAAUUCCAAUAAAUUUUAAUCUUACCUCAUAUUUGAUACUAUUUUCAAAUUUACCUUUAACUUAAUUUCAUUUUCAUAAAUAUCUUGAAUUUAUGAUUAAAAGAUAAAAUUAACCGGCCCAAAACUUUUUAAAAUAUAUAAGAUUUAUUUAUAGAAGUUUAUAAACUCAACUUCACCACCUAAAUAAUAAAU